rnacentral:sRNA from 1 species
GAACGGACUGGAAACCUGACUGUAUGUUC